rnacentral:lncRNA from 1 species
GGAGGUGUUGAACUUCUCAAGACUAUGAUGGCUGAAAGUGGCCUCAUAGAGAUCCAAUAAAACAUGCUUGACUCCAAGACAUGUAUACUACCAAAGACCUGUUCAUUUCAAACAUUACAUGGUGAGUAUCCAUAAGACAUAACUCCAGUCAACCAGAAAAGAAAAUAACACCUGAUACAUUUCAUGGCUUUGACCACUCCAGGCUUCAGUAUGGCAAAAGCAACCAGGAAAUCACAGGAUCCUACACCAGAUGUUGAGUCAUCAACCUCAAGUGCCAAGUCCAAGAAAGCUCGCCAUCAACCCCAAACCAGACCUGCUGGCAAGAAGAGUUAUCAGACCAGUUCCAAAUUAGUGGGAAGGUGCAAAAGACUACCAAUAAGGACAAGAAAACCCUGCCACGGAUCCCAAGGAGAAAGAUUUCUGAGAAGACUACACUGCCUACAAAAAAAAAAAAAAAAGACUUAAAAAGUCAAGGGAAAAGCACUAUUCGGUCACUACCACCUCCUGAUGGAAGAGAUCACAACUAGUAUUGAGACACAGCCGGACCAUAGCAGAGUAGAGAGCUCCAGUGUUUCCACGAGUGACAAGGAAAGCCAAUAGCCUCCGAAUGCCACCAAAGACCUAGAAACCCAUUCAAAGGUCUGGUACCUGAGCAUUGUAAAACUGUGUAGACUGAGUAUUUACUACACAAUGCUUUGACGCUGAUGAAAAUAAAAUCAAUCUGAUAUGAAAAAAAGUUACAUUUAAUAUGGACAAAAAUAAGGCUUAUUAUUGUUAGAUUGCCAAGUCAUGGCUUUAUUGAAUGAAGAACUAUGACUGC